UACGGGGGGGGCAAGCGUUGUUCGGAAUUACUGGGCGUAAAGGGCUCGUAGGCGGCCAACUAAGUCAGACGUGAAAUCCCUCGGCUUAACCGGGGAACUGCGUCUGAUACUGGAUGGCUUGAGUUUGGGAGAGGGAUGCGGAAUUCCAGGUGUAGCGGUGAAAUGCGUAGAUAUCUGGAGGAACACCGGUGGCGAAGGCGGCAUCCUGGACCGGUAUUGACGCUGAGGCGCGAAAGCUAGGGGAGCAAACGGG
rnacentral:rRNA from 1 species